UUUAACUGAAGAGUUUGAUCAUGGCUCAGAUUGAACGCUGGCGGCAGGCUUAACACAUGCAAGUCGAGCGGAGAGAGGUAGCUUGCU
rnacentral:rRNA from 1 species